rnacentral:sRNA from 1 species
GACAAAAGUGAGUUAGAAUUUGACUCUGACUCCCAGAGGGGAGACGCUUAUAUCAUGUGGCUUCAUAGAGGUGAAUUACCAGACAAGCAAAGAACUCAGUGUAUUCCACCACUGACCUGCCUUUGGGAAUGGGUGGCUCUGCAGGGCUUCAUCAAGAUGAAGAGCUACCCCAGCAGCACCAAUGUGGAGACCGUCAACGAUGGUGCUGAGUCGGCCAUGUUCAAGCAGCUGUUCCAGAAGUGGUCAGUAAAGGACCAGACCAUGGGCCUGGGGAAAACAUUCAGCAUUGGUAAAAUUGCUAAAGUUUUCCAGGAUAAAUUUGAUGUGACUCUGUUACACACCAAGCCAGAGGUAGCUGCCCAGGAAAGAAUGGUCGAUGAUGGCAACGGAAAAGUUGAGGUCUGGAGAAUUGAGAACCUGGAGCUGGUCCCUGUGGAGUAUCAAUGGUAUGGCUUCUUUUAUGGGGGAGACUGUUAUCUGGUCCUCUACACAUACGAGGUAAACGGGAAGCCACAUCACAUCUUGUACAUCUGGCAGGUAGGCCUGGCACAGGCUUCAGCUUUGGAUCCUGAUGUGUCCUCUGGCCACUGGGCUGGGGCGGGGAGCAUGGGUCCUUCAUGGCCUCUCACCAUUGCAGGGCCGCCAUGCCUCACAGGAUGAGCUGGCAGCCUCAGCAUACCAGGCAGUGGAGGUGGAUCGGCAGUUUGAUGGGGCCGCUGUGCAGGUUCGAGUCAGGAUGGGAAUGGAGCCACGCCACUUCAUGGCCAUCUUCAAAGGGAAGCUAGUUAUCUUUGAGGGUGGGACUUCCAGGAAGGGAAAUGCCGAGCCUGACCCUCCAGUAAGACUCUUCCAAAUUCAUGGAAAUGACAAAUCUAACACCAAAGCAGUGGAAGUUCCAGCCUUUGCCUCCUCCCUAAACUCCAGUGAUGUCUUUCUGCUGCGAACUCAGGCAGAGCACUACCUGUGGUAUGGCAAGGGGUCUAGUGGGGAUGAGCGGGCAAUGGCUAAGGAGCUGGCCAGCCUUCUCUGUGAUGGCAGCGAGAACACUGUGGCCGAGGGCCAGGAGCCAGCCGAGUUCUGGGACCUACUGGGAGGGAAAACUCCCUAUGCCAAUGAUAAAAGACUUCAGCAGGAAAUCCUAGAUGUCCAGUCUCGUCUCUUUGAAUGUUCCAAUAAGACCGGCCAAUUCAUUGUCACUGAGAUCACAGACUUCACCCAGGAUGACCUGAACCCUAGUGACGUGAUGCUCCUAGAUACCUGGGACCAGGUGUUCUUGUGGAUUGGGGCUGAGGCCAAUGCCAUGGAGAAGGAGAGUGCCCUUGCCACAGCGCAGCAGUACCUGCACACUCACCCCAGCGGCCGAGAUCCCGACACACCAAUCCUGAUCAUUAAGCAGGGGUUUGAGCCUCCCAUCUUCACAGGCUGGUUCCUAG